AUUAAUUUAAAGAGGUUAUAUUGUAUAUACUUAGUUUUCACUUCCUUAACCAUGCCAUACAAUUUAGAUUUUCUCUAUAUAAUCAUAAGGUUGCAAAGGGAUGUGAUAUUGUGUGUAUACCUGCUUCCAGCAACGUCUUAGUUUUCUCAUGGAAAUUGUGUGUAGAUUUCAAGUUUCAAACAAUUUGUACGAUUAUUCUAUCAAAUUAUCUCAUUUUUUUCUUUACAUAUAUACAUGACCGACCCUUAGAUUUUGGAGGCCUUAGACGACUUUUAUAAAAAAUUCAUUGAAAAAUCAAAUUUAAGAAAAUUUGGGGACUUUUUUAAAAAAAAUUGAGGGCCUAUGCUCAUAUAAUUAGCGGCCCUGCAUAUAUAAUUACAACAAAAUAUUCCAUGCCAUAGUGAAGAAAAUGGAAGUUGAGUUUCAUUAUUUAGGCAUGGACAUCCGGGUCCUCGGGUCGAUUCUUGUCGGAUCCGGUUCUUUCAGGUCUUGGAAAUUUAGACCUAUAUAGGUAUCUAUAAUUUUUUGGGUCGGUUCCGAAUCAGGUCUUGUAUGGUCUGGGUCAGUUCGGAUCGGUUUGGAUCCAUAAUUCUAAUACUCGUAAAAUAUUAGUAAUUUUCAGGUAUAUUUUGAAUUCGGGUCGGUUCGGAUAUUUAGGAUUCGAAAAGGAUCCGAAAUACCCGAACUAGACCCGAAAACUCAAAAAAUACACGAAAACUCUAAAAUACCCAAAAUUUUAUCCAAAAUCAGACCCAAAAACCCAAAAGAUACCUGUAUACCGGAAUUAUAUUUUCUGAAAAUCUAAAAUUUUAUCCGAAACAUGAAAUUAUACCCGAAAACCCAAACCUAAAACUUAAAAAUAUAUCUAAAACACCAAAAAAUACCCAGUCACCCAUAUAUACAGUAAUUGUUUGGUACUUCGGAUCAGUGGCAGACCCAGAAAUAUAUUUUACCGGUGUCAUAAAUAAAUUAUUUAUGAAUUUUAAUAUAUUUUAAUAAUAAUUGUUUAAAUUAAUUUUUUUAUUAAAUAUUGAUUACAUAUAAUAUUGGAUUGUCAAACUGUUAACUAAAAAAAAUACAAAUCUUCUGGUUAAAAAAAAAAAAGAAAAAUCUUCAAUUUUGGCUUAGAAACCCACGUAAAUAUAUAAAAACAAUAACUAAAGUGAGCUGUGCAACCCAAAUAUUAAUUUGGGUCCAAAUAAAAAUGUAGAAAACAUAUUGGGCUUUUGGCCUGUUACAAAAAGAAACAAAUAAAAUCAGAAAAGGGUGCAAACCAAGACUAUCGAACUUGGGUUGCGGAUUUAAGGGGUGUCAAAGAAAGAGAUUUUUACCAUCUGCGCUAAGAUAGAUAACUGUAAAUGGCUUACAAAGACACUCUUUAUUAUUUAAAGGGUGUCAGCUGACAUCCCUACUCUCCAUGUAGGUCCGCCUCUGCUUCGGAUAUCCGAUCGGAUCCCAAGUUAGGACCCGGACCCGAACCGAGACCCGCAGAUCCAAAAAAAAGACCCAACAAGUACUUUUGCAUGGACCAGGACCCGGAUCCGGACCCCAACCUGUAUUUUCGGGUUGGUUCCGGUCCGAGUCUUUGGAUCUGGGUCAAAUGCCAUGCCUAUGAUCAAUUAUUCCUCCUGUGCCAAACCCCAUCACUUUCUCCAUCUUCAACAACCUGCUUCAUGAUCUCAGGUUGAUUUGAUCAGUAGUACUAUAAGCUUACA
rnacentral:lncRNA from 1 species